CCUGUGUUUCCUAGGUGACUGAACUCAGGGUCCACUCCACCCUGGGCUUAUUUAAGGGCUAGCCUCUGAAAGUAGAACGUUUUGUAGGUUAAGGUUACUUCUUUAUAAGAAGUUUUAUAGCACAGUUGGGAUGUGAAAAACAAACCUGAACCUUAGGACAGAGAUGCCUGAGAAAGCACGCUUGCAACUGAGCUGCGAAAUUUCCAUAUAUUGCAAGUGCUUCUUGCUAUGGACUGAAUUGGGAUCCCAGUGUCUGGCAGCACUGAGCAGACUGGCCGAACAGUUUUCUGCAUCAACACUGUUCAAAGACCACUAAGUACAUCCUGCUUUUCAGAAGCUAGUGGAAGCCAGGGCAACAGUAUAAAUGUAAAUACCAUGCUUUGCAUUUUAAUUAAUAACAUUGUGUUCUUAUGAUCAAGUGUGUCUUAGAUGAUUUCUUAAGACUGAUUAUUUUCUUUGUGUAAGGAAGGAGAGACAUGAUACACUCAUGCUGCUGUAAACUAGAUACAAAUUACUUUGUAGAAAAGCAGUGUUGUGAAGAAAAGGGCCUUCUGAAUCCCAUUGAGACUAAGGGAGAAAAUAGAGUUUAAAAGGCUUUCUUAGCAUGUCGUGAUUGAUACCAAGUAUUGCGGUGAGAUAAAAGGUAUGCUCUUUAACUGCCUUUCAUAGGCAAUGUGGCAAAUGUUAAUAAUGGUAUCCCCUAACUGGACAACUGCAGAAGAUCAGGCACAUGGAACUCAUCUGUGUUCCUGUUGAGGCACAUACAUCAUGCGGAAUCCCCUGUUGCAUUCUUGGGGAAUAAGAGCUCUUGAUGACAGUGAGAGUGACCCAACUCAGUACAAGUGUUUAGGGUAUCUGACGUAAUGAAAUAGGCUGCACUGGAAAUGUGUUAUCUCAAAGUUUAUUGAAUAUGUGUCUGACCUUUCUGCCUGCUGAAACACUGGUGUUCUGCUGCUGUCUGUAAGAACAAUUCAUAUGGAAAUUGCCUAUCAAGAAAUAAUCA